rnacentral:rRNA from 1 species
UGGGGAAUCUUGCACAAUGGGGGAAACCCUGAUGCAGCGACGCCGCGUGAGCGAUGAAGGUUUUCGAAUCGUAAAGCUCUGUCCUAUGGGAAGAUAAUGACGGUACCAUAGGAGGAAGCCCCGGCUAACUACGUGCCAGCAGCCGCGGUAAUACGUAGGGGGCGAGCGUUGUCCGGAAUUACUGGGCGUAAAGGGUUCGCAGGCGGAAAUGCAAGUCAGGUGUAAAAGGCAGUAGCUUAACUACUGUAAGCAUUUGAAACUGCAUAUCUUGAGAAGAGUAGAGGUAAGUGGAAUUUUUAGUGUAGCGGUGAAAUGCGUAGAUAUUAAAAAGAAUACCGGUGGCGAAGGCGACUUACUGGGCUCAUUCUGACGCUGAGGAACGAAAGCGUGGGUAGCAAACAGG